rnacentral:misc_RNA from 1 species
AAGUCGUAACAAGGUAACCGUAGGUGAACCUGCGGUUGGAUCAUUAACACGUAUCCACGUAUCCACCCAAUGUGAAUGUAUGUUCCUUCCACGUGUGUGUCACUGGAGCAGCAGCAAUGCUGCAGCAGUUGACAGACACAUCCAUCUAUCUACCCUUUUCACCCUCCUUUUUGCUAGUUGACUUUUUUAUGUUGCAGUCGCUCGUCGCCUGCACACGUUUCUUAUUUGAACGUAAAAUAUACAACUCUUAGCAAUGGAUAUCUUGGUUCUC